rnacentral:rRNA from 1 species
GGUAUAGUUCUUCGGAACUAGAGACCGGCGCACGGGUGCGUAACGCGUAUGCAAUCUACCUUUUACAGAGGGAUAGCCCAGAGAAAUUUGGAUUAAUACCUCAUAGCAUAGCAGUCUCGCAUGAGAUCACUAUUAAAGUCACAACGGUAAAAGAUGAGCAUGCGUCCCAUUAGCUAGUUGGUAAGGUAACGGCUUACCAAGGCUACGAUGGGUAGGGGUCCUGAGAGGGAGAUCCCCCACACUGGUACUGAGACACGGACCAGACUCCUACGGGAGGCAGCAGUGAGGAAUAUUGGACAAUGGGCGCAAGCCUGAUCCAGCCAUGCCGCGUGCAGGAUGACGGUCCUAUGGAUUGUAAACUGCUUUUAUACGAGAAGAAACACUCCAACGUGUUGGAGCUUGACGGUAUCGUAAGAAUAAGGAUCGGCUAACUCCGUGCCAGCAGCCGCGGUAAUACGGAGGAUCCAAGCGUUAUCCGGAAUCAUUGGGUUUAAAGGGUCCGUAGGCGGUUUAGUAAGUCAGUGGUGAAAGCCCAUCGCUCAACGGUGGAACGGCCAUUGAUACUGCUAAACUUGAAUUAUUAGGAAGUAACUAGAAUAUGUAGUGUAGCGGUGAAAUGCUUAGAGAUUACAUGGAAUACCAAUUGCGAAGGCAGGUUACUACUAAUGGAUUGACGCUGAUGGACGAAAGCGUGGGUAGCGAACAGGAUUAGAUACCCUGGUAGUCCACGCCGUAAACGAUGGAUACUAGCUGUUGGGAGCAAUCUCAGUGGCUAAGCGAAAGUGAUAAGUAUCCCACCUGGGGAGUACGUUCGCAAGAAUGAAACUCAAAGGAAUUGACGGGGGCCCGCACAAGCGGUGGAGCAUGUGGUUUAAUUCGAUGAUACGCGAGGAACCUUACCAAGGCUUAAAUGUAGAUUGACCGGUUUGGAAACAGAUCUUUCGCAAGACAAUUUACAAGGUGCUGCAUGGUUGUCGUCAGCUCGUGCCGUGAGGUGUCAGGUUAAGUCCUAUAACGAGCGCAACCCCUGUUGUUAGUUGCCAGCGAGUCAUGUCGGGAACUCUAACAAGACUGCCAGUGCAAACUGUGAGGAAGGUGGGGAUGACGUCAAAUCAUCACGGCCCUUACGCCUUGGGC